GGUUUAUAUGGCAGUAUGGAGCUUAUAAUUGUAUACAUUCAGGGAAAAACAAGGAAGUACUUGCGAUAUGUGAGAGCAGCAGGUCCCCUCACAGCUGUUCUUUCGGGCACAACUUUUGUAAAAAUAUUUAAUCCAUCUUCCAUAUCUUUGGUAGGAGAUAUACCUCAGGGCCUACCAAGCUUUUCUAUUCCUAGAGCUUUUGGAUAUGCUACAUCUUUGAUCCCCACCGCACUUCUCAUUACUGGUGUAGCUAUUUUGGAAUCUGUGGGCAUUGCAAAAGCAUUAGCAGCAAAGAAUGGGUAUGAGCUGGACUCAAAUCAAGAGUUGUUCGGUCUUGGUGUGGCCAAUAUUUUUGGUUCAUUUUUUUCAGCAUAUCCAACAACAGGUUCUUUUUCUAGGUCAGCUGUGAAUCAUGAAAGUGGAGCUAAAUCUGGCUUAUCUGGACUUGUUAUGGGAGUCUUGAUGGGCUGCGCUCUCCUAUUUAUGACACCACUGUUUGAAUAUAUACCGCAGGUCUCAAAUUGUCUCCUAGGAUGGUUGAGGCUUUGAUUUGCUCUCAAAAUUGGAUAAGGUCCGAAGAUAUAUCUUCAUUGCAAUAUGUGCCAAGCAUUGAAGAGAUGGAGUUCUAUGAAUCAAUUGAAAUGGAAAUGGGGAGUAAACCAUCCACUACAAAUUUGAAUAAGACUCUCCCUUCUUAGUGUGAUGAAGAUAUGUUGGAAGGUUGCUUUGUUAAGGUUUUGGAAGAAUGGAUGAAGCAGAUUUUUUGCAAGGAUGCUAUCUUUAUGUGUAUUUUUGUGAUGGGUUGUAAUCUUUAAUUUCAUAAGUUUAAUUUGGAUUGCUUGCUUUAUUUGUGUAUUAUUUUUUUGUCAUGGUUUGUAAGAGAUUAUAUUUCCUUUCCUUGCAUGGUUGGUUGAAUGUGUGAACGUGAUAUUCAUUUAGUUGUUUAGAAACUUA